CUUCUUAUAUGUGAGGAAGAGGGAGAACCAUGUCUCUCUCAUGUUUCCCUCUUCUUAUAUGUGAGGAAGAGGGAGAACCAUGUCUCUCUCAUAUUUCCCUCUUCCUUCUCUCUUUCUGGCUCUCUCUUUUAUUUUUUCUCUCUACUCUCUUCAGAUGAUUUCCUAAAUCCAAUUGAGGGUCUAGGACUCUUACUUUGUAAAUUCCAGAUUGACCCUAUCAAGGGAUCCUA
rnacentral:lncRNA from 1 species